rnacentral:rRNA from 1 species
UACGAAGGGUGCAAACGUUGCUCGGAAUUAUUGGGCGUAAAGCGCACGUAGGCGGCUUAGCAAGUCGGAAGUGAAAUCCCUCGGCUCAACCAAGGAAGUGCUUUCGAAACUGCUGAGCUUGAGUACGAAAGAGGAUCGCGGAAUUCCCGGUGUAGAGGUGAAAUUCGUAGAUAUCGAGAAGAACACCGGUGGCGAAGGCGGCCAACUGGACGGUGACUGACACUGAGACGCGAAAGCGUGGGGAGCAAACAGG